GACCUGCUAGCUCAGUUGGUAGAGCAACGCCCUUUUAAGGCGUGGGUCAAAGGUUCGAAUCCUUUGCAGGUCA
rnacentral:tRNA from 1 species